CUGCUGUGUUUCAGAUAUGUACAGCUAAAAAGCCAUGCAUAAGCUUGAUGUAAUAUUUGAUAGUGAGUUGGAGCCAAAGCUAUUUGAGGUGGCAAGUGUGUGGAGCACAUUGGAGCUGACGUGAACCUGCCAACUACCCCUACGUUUUCUGGGACGUUGAAAGAACUCUCAACCCUACAUUUUAAAAAAAGUUUUAUUUUUAAUCAUUACUGAAAACCGCUGCUGAAUCAAGAUCAGUGAUAAUUCUUUGUAGUUACUUUAUAAAUUGUUGUUACCUAAGAGUCAACUAGAUGAUCUAAAAGAAAAUAUUUUAAUGAUCACAUUUCUGUAAUUUAUAAUUAAACACUGUGCACUUUUAGAUACAGUUCGGGAUAUUUGAAAAAUAUGAAUCAUAUAGGUGCAGUGUCCACUUUAAAGUUGCUACAUUAAAUGAAAUCAUGAAUUUCAUAAUACACUUCAUGAAGAUUUCUUGGUUGUACACAGUUGAACCACAUCUUAGACUUGCAGUCAUAGCAAAGUUGUAUAAUCUAAAAAUAUAUAUAAGAAAAUAUAUAACAUCAAUUCAGAUGUUAUGUGUAAAACUUCCUUUUCUUCUGGCGUUUUUUUCUUCUCCUGGUGUUUAUUCUGGCUUCUCCAGUCACAGUUUGUUUUAUAAGAUUGCUAACUUAGGAAUUUAUUUAGACCAGAUUUGUCUUUUACUGCAUUAAGACAGGUUAACCAUAAAAUGACAUGGGAGUCUUUUGACCUGUACUACUUCCUAUCCCCAAAUUGUGUCAUGAUAUUAUUUUAUUUUUUCAACAAAUUUGUACAUGUGCCUCUCAUUCAACUGCAGUCUAACACUGAUACUGGAUUUUUGGCAGUGUGAAGUCUAGUUUCUGCAUUUUGUGUAAGAACUGGCUCAUGCUGUGGUAACUGAUCAGUUUGUACUCCAUUUCUGCUCAGUAUCAUUAGUGCCAUAAAAUCUGAUUAUCAUCUAAAAUUUUGUAAAUUGACCAAGAACUCUCUAGGUUUUUGGUUAUAAAUUCCAUCGUGUAUUUAUACAAACAGGAUUCUCAUUAAAUGGAACUUUUUAGUUGUGUGUAAUUCAUAUUAAAUUGUGGACAGACAGAAAUUUCAAAUUUAUUCAGAAAUGUAACAGGAAGGUUGAUAUAUAUAUAUAUAUAUAUAUAUAUAUAUAUAUAUAUAUAUAUGCUAGCACAAUCUUACUAAAAAGUAUACUGUAUACUUUGGAAAAUAGCUUGAGGAAUGUAGCAUCAACCCGAAAUUCUAAAAUUACAUACUUUUGUGUAAUUGUGCAGUGAAUAUAUCUAUACAUCUUAUAAAUUCAUCACACACACACACACACACACCUCUUUAAAGUAAAACAAAAUCUAUAAAAUACUAGGUUUAUGCAAUGCGAUCUCUUGCUAAUCUAUUCAGCAGCAAUAAAUAAGUAAAUUAUUAUUGCUCCUGUGUCAUCUUUGCUCAUGUCCACAUAGUUCGAUUGUAAGCUCUUUGGGGACAGGUGAGGUUUCUUUCUGACCUUGCAGUGAUUUAUUUUAUUACUGCCAUCAUUCUUUUGAGAUAACUUCCCCACCCUACUUUCUCCUAUACCUAGUUCGAUGAAAUUCUAGUUUUUGGUAGCCAUCUAUUGCAUUACUACCUACAAUUCUACAAAUAUUUUCCUUUUAUUGUUGUGCAGUUUACAAUAUUGAAAAAGUAUGUGAUACUAUAAUAUUUCAGUCUAAAUAUUAUUAGUAUUAGUUAAUGUUCUGUCAUAAUAAAUACGUAUUUCAUUAUUUUCAUGAAUGACUUGAAGCAACAGAUUAUUGUGUAUAUUCAAAUUAAAGUCAUUUAGUCAUUGAUAAUUACUUUAACAAUGUGAUAUUUUAUAUGUGUGUAUUUUUUCCGUAACUUUUAAAGUUUGCAUUUCAGUAUUUUGAAUUUUAAAACACGAUUAUAUAUACAUGAAUGCUUAAUUUGGAAUACUUAUUUUCUAUUUAAUAUAAUCAGUUCACAUAUAUGUGUGGCAUACAUUUGCACAUUCUCAGGAGAAGUGUAAGCUUUAUGAUGUUAAAAUAUUUGUAAGAGCCUACUACUAGUUACGGCCAACAUAUUUUGAUUAUGAACAGCAUAUUGCAAAUUAAAGAGAUGUGUGU